UAUCUCAUUAUGUAUAUGCAAAUCUUCCCCUCUGAAGAAAGCUGAAACACUUCUGGUCCCAGGCUUUCAGGAGAAAAGAUUUCAAAUUCCUGAACUUUAAAAUCACAGUGCAGUAAAGAAGUCCUCCAGCUUCAAGAGGAGUGAGACAGUGCGCCUUUAAUCCUGGUUGGUAAAGCCUUGGUGAAAUGCCUAGUACUGUUCAGGGCUCUUAUAGACCAGGUUAUG
rnacentral:lncRNA from 1 species